UAGAUAGAUAGAUAGAUAGAUCAGGUCAUGUACUAUGAAUGUAGUGAGUUUGUAUUUAUUGCACAAUGAAAAACAAACUAGAACAUUGUCAAGGGACGCAUUCAAAUAGGUGGAACACAGCAGAAUGAUUGUGGUUAUGGAGAGAAGUGUUAACUCUUUCAUUUACAAAACUUAAUGUUAUAUUAAAUACUAGUUUCUAUUUUCUGGAAAAAACAAGCAUUGCUGGAGUAUUCCAUCUAUUUUCCCCAAAUAUUGUCCCUUAGCAGCAAUUCACAGAUUACGUCAAACUUGAAAAUUCAGCAGUGGCCAAGCUGAAUUACCCAAAAUGUUCUGACAAGGUUUUACAGAUAUUUACUAAAUAUGGGUUCAUUUUAAAGGACCACUAAAGUGCCAGAAAAACAUACUCGUUUUCCUGGCACUAUAGUGCCCUGAGGGUGGAUGGAGAGGAAGGGGUUAAACUUACCUCUUUCUCCAGCGCCGGGCGGGGGACUCUAAUCCUUCUCUCCGCCUCCUCUCCUCCUCCUCGGCUGAAUGCGCAUGCGCGGCAAGAGCCGCGCGUGCAUUCAGCCAGUCUCAUAGGAAAGCACGUAAGCGCCUCUAGCGGCUGUCAAUGAGACAGCCACUAGAGGCUGGAUUAACUCUCUGAAACUGCUAUAUUUAUUUAAAAAAAAAGGUUAAACCUAGCUGGACCUGGCACCCAGACCACUUCAUUAAGCUGAAGUGGUCUGGGUGCCUAUAGUGGUCCUUUAAUACAUUUGGCUACAAUUUACAAUUAGGCUUUUUACUAAACAAACAUUUAUAUUAUAUUUUGCAAUUAGUUGUUUUUACAUCAUGGUUCAACAUUGUAGUUUCUGAGACUUGGAGAUUGGUUUUGCCCCAACAGCAAUUUGGCCAAAUUUGGUCCAAUCGGUUGCUCCACCGAAUUCUCAAACACAAAGUCUAAAUCUAAAAGAAUUACACACCUGAAAUGGUCAAUGCUGAACAUGAUCGGGUCAGCUCAUGAUUCUGAAUUCUGCCCGUGGAACCAAAAGCAAAAUAAUUGAUGAGAAAAAAAUGGUUGAUGGCAAGAGGCCAGUCAAAAUAAUCUACAUCUG